CAUUAGAUGACUGAAAGUAAGUAAUGGAAUUUUAAACCAUAAAAUGAUAAAUAACAAAUAUCUCUAAUG
rnacentral:tRNA from 1 species